rnacentral:rRNA from 1 species
CAGUAGCCGCGGGAAUACAGAGGGUGCGAGCGUUAAUCGGAUUUACUGGGCGUAAAGCGUGCGUAGGCGGCUUUUUAAGUCGGAUGUGAAAUCCCUGAGCUUAACUUAGGAAUUGCAUUCGAUACUGGGAAGCUAGAGUAUGGGAGAGGAUGGUAGAAUUCCAGGUGUAGCGGUGAAAUGCGUAGAGAUCUGGAGGAAUACCGAUGGCGAAGGCAGCCAUCUGGCCUAAUACUUACGCUGAGGUACGAAAGCAUGGGGAGCAAACAGGAUUAGAGACCCGUGUAGUCCCUGUCUCUUAUAC